rnacentral:rRNA from 1 species
AUUAGACUACCCUGUACGUCCAGCCGUAAACAAUGUGCGUUAGGUGUGUCGGUAACCACGCGUUACUGAUGCGCCGAAGAGAAAUCGUGAAACGCACCACCUGGGAAGUACGGUCGCAAGGCUGAAACUUAAAGGAAUUGGCGGGGAGCGCCACAACAGGUGGAGCCUGCGGUUUAAUUGGAUUCAACGCCGGACAUCUCACCGGAUAAGACAGCUGAAUGAUUGUCAAUCUGAAGGUUUUACAUGACUAGCUG